GGCGGUGUAGCUCAGUCUGGCAGAGCAUCGGUUUCAUAAGCCGAGGGUCGGGGAUUCAAAUUCCCUCACCGCCA
rnacentral:tRNA from 1 species